rnacentral:rRNA from 1 species
UACGUAGGGCGCAAGCGUUAUCCGGAAUUAUUGGGCGUAAAGAGCUCGUAGGCGGUUUGUCGCGUCUGCCGUGAAAGUCCGGGGCUUAACUCCGGGCCUGCAGUGGGUACGGGCAGACUAGAGUGCGGUAGGGGAGACUGGAAUUCCUGGUGUAGCGGUGAAAUGCGCAGAUAUCAGGAGGAACACCGGUGGCGAAGGCGGGUCUCUGGGCCGUAACUGACGCUGAGGAGCGAAAGCGUGGGGAGCGAACAGG